rnacentral:tRNA from 1 species
GCGCCCAUAGCUCAAUUGGAUAGAGCGUUGGCCUCCGGAGCCAAAGGUUGCAGGUUCGAAUCCUGCUGGGCGCG